rnacentral:tRNA from 1 species
GCCUUCGUGGUGUAAUGGUUAGCACACUCGACCCGUGUUUUAGAGGGCCGUGGUUCGAUUCCCGGCGAGGGUA